GAGAGGAUCGUCCCCGGCGUGGCUCUGCAGCCUCGGCCACUUUGUGAGCUUCUCCGGGGGCGCUCGGCGGCUCCAGGUUCCGGGGACUCGCCGCCCGGCGCGGGGCCCGCGGAGCGCCCAGGCUCAGCGAGCUUGCGCGGAAGCUGGAACUUACUCCACAAGUUUACCGGCCUCCCUCCUUUCGAUGUGCGUUUUCGGACAUGCGGAGGUUACUGGAACCGUGUUGGUGGAUUUUGUUCCUGAAAAUCAGCAGUUCCGUGCUCCAUUAUGUCGUGUGCUUCCCGGCAUUGACGGAAGGCUACGUGGGAGCCCCGAAGGACAGCAGACGCGGCAGCUCUGUGCAAAUCCGCAGGCGCAAAGCUUCUGGUGACCCUUACUGGGCCUACUCGGGUCCGUGUGAUGGUCAAGUGUCAGGCUGCUGUUUGUGUCUCCAGGAAGCUGCACAGUGAAGCAAACAAGUUCCAUUGCAGAAUUCCGCUUCUAUUUUUGUUGUGUUCAUUUGAUCUUUUCCAUCGGUAGGCACGUUAGCUUCUAAAGCCUGCAGAAAUCCUCCUCCCCCAAUCCCAGCUGUACCUUUUGCUCAAAACGCUGAGGGCUUCCCUGCAAAUCAAUGCCUGCCCGGCUAACUGGAAAUGCGCUGGUCUCCCGGUGUGUCUACAAGCCCUGUGCCUGCAGUCAUCUUUGAGAGAUGGUUGGGAGCUGAGCUCUCCCCUGUCCCUUGGAACUUCAUUAACUGCUGUGCCUUUGUGCACUGAAUA
rnacentral:lncRNA from 1 species